rnacentral:rRNA from 1 species
AUUGAACGCUGGCGGCAGGCCUAACACAUGCAAGUCGAACGACUGGCGGGCGGGUGAGUACUGUCUAGCAAACUGCCCGAUGGAGGGGGAUAACUACUGGAAGCGCUAAUUAAUACCGCAUACCAUCGAAUCUGCCCAGGAGGGAUUAGCUUGUAGGUGAGGUAACGGCCGACCAAGGCGACGAUCCCUAGCUGGUCUGAGAGGAUGACCGGGCACACUGGAACUGAGACACGGUCCAGACGCCUACGGGAGGCAGCAGUGGGGAAUAUUGCACAAUGGGCGAGAGCCUGAUGCAGCCAUGCCGCGUGUGUGAAGAAGGCCUUCGGAUUGUAAAGCACUUUAAGCUGGGAGGCGUUACCAACAGAAUAAGCACCGGCUAACUCCGUGCCAGCAGCCGCGGUAAUUC